ACGAGCCUACGGGAGGCAGCAGUGGGGGAUAUUGUACAAUGGAGGAAACUCUGAUGCAGCGACGCCGCGUGAGGGAAGACGGUCUUCGGAUUGUAAACCUCUGUCUUUGGGGAAGAGAAUGACGGUACCCAAAGAGGAAGCUCCGGCUAACUACGUGCCAGCAGCCGCGGUAAUACGUAGGGAGCGAGCGUUGUCCGGAAUUACUGGGUGUAAAGGGAGCGUAGGCGGGCGAGAAAGCUGAAUGUUAAAUCUACCGGCUUAACUGGUAGCUGCGUUCAAAACUUCUUGUCUUGAGUG
rnacentral:rRNA from 1 species